rnacentral:rRNA from 1 species
UACGUAGGGUGCGAGCGUUAAUCGGAAUUACUGGGCGUAAAGCGUGCGCAGGCGGCUUUGCAAGACAGAUGUGAAAUCCCCGGGCUUAACCUGGGAACUGCAUUUGUGACUGCAUUGCUGGAGUGCGGCAGAGGGGGGUGGAAUUCCACGUGUAGCAGUGAAAUGCGUAGAUAUGUGGAGGAACACCAAUGGCGAAGGCAGCCCCCUGGGUCAACACUGACGCUCAUGCACGAAAGCGUGGGGAGCAAACAGG